CUGAAUAUGCAUAGUUCAGUUGUGUUUAGCUUAUGUGUACUUUAUGGUGGUGCUAUGAUUGCGGAGAGCCAUGCUGAAAAAUGCAAGUACCCAUUUCGGAGAAUAGGAGAUGGCUGCUACUUCAUAAGUAGAAAUAAAACUACUCCAGAUAGAGCAUCUGCUUUGUGUUUACGGCGUGGUGCAUACCUUGCCACCUUUGAGACUUUGGAAGAGACCAUGUUGAUGAAGUAUGAACUUCAACAAAUGAAUACAGGGCGGAACAUCGACAGAUACGUAUCUGGCGGAGACUGGAGAUGGAUAAAAAACGGCAAAAUGAUCAAGAUGACGUACAAAGCCUUUGGCGCAAGAGAACCUGACGGAAAUAAUUCUAGCCCACAAGACUGCAUGAUGUUUUUCGCUGCAGAGAGAUAUGCAUUUCAUAACGUAUACUGUGACCAUCCCGGAUGGAAUAGUGGCUAUAUUUGUAAGAAAUGAUUAAAAUGAACAUAAUUUUAAUAACUA